AGACAAGGCAUGCCCAGAUGCUGGCCACCCUCCAGAGAAGCCCUAUGGCAAACCCCAAGUCCUUGAAGGACAAGGCAUGAGACAAAUGCCUGAUCUGUAGACAGGCAGGGCAUUGGGCCAAAGAGUGUCCAAACCGUGACAAGUCUCCUAGAACGGCUUGCCACAAAUGCCAUCAACUGGGACAUUGGGCGGCACUCUGCCCUGGGGACCCAAGAGCCUCAAGGUCAAGCGCCAAGCCUUCCCUCACGAUGGUUCAACAAGACUGAAGCGGCACGCUCCAGCCAGCCCACCUGUCACAGAUAACCAUCAAGGGGCUGGAGCCAAGGGUGCAACCGGAUGUGGCAGAAACCUUGGACCACUGGACAAAACCCCAAGAGAGAUUGUCGGAAGAUGCUCUAACCAAUCCUGAGGAAAUCUGGUACACUGAUGGAAGCAGCUUUGUCUUAGAUGGAAAAAGAAGAGCCGGGAAUGCAGUAGUCUCCAAUGUUGAGACCACAGAGGCUAAGCCUCUGCCACCAGGUCAACAAGCUACAACAUGCAGUGCCAGUUCAACAAAGAUAUAAAACUACAGCCGACCACAGAAAAUAUCACUCACCCUUAAGUGGACACCGCUAUAAGGACUCUGAGGCUUGCAACUAGCAAGAGAGGGAGGCCCAAUACCCCUCGCCAUCCCAGUUCAGCAGGAAGUAGCCAAAAAGACCUCGAUGCCCCUAUUCCCAAAGAACUGGGCCUCCCAUCUCUUGAGGGGGGAAUGUUAGGUAGUUAGAAUAGGGAAAAGAAGUCCAAAAUGGCGGUGGCUAAAAGACAAGGAAGAGGAAAGCCCACAAAAAUUGAACAGAGGAAGGUCAAAGGGAGGUCCGAGGACCACAGUGAGGACUUCAGGUAGAACAGCACUCCUGACUAAGCCCAAUUUGCAUAGGGCAGGCCCAGGGGGAAGAAAAAAAAACAUAAAAAGAGGAGCCAAAGUGCUUUCUCUCUCUUUCUCUCCCUUCCCCGAGCACUGGCGUGCUCCUCCACUCUCUUCUCUUCGCAUCCUUGGGUUGGCAUGCCCUCAUGCUUGGAGGAUGGAUUCUCCUGCUAUCUUCUAACUAAAAUAGAGCUGUAACACUGAUUUGUCUAAGAGCUAUAACAUGGUUUGUCCAAGACCCAAGAGCUGUGACGCACCGAGGGCUUUAAUGUCCGUCGCUCCAAAUCUUUGUUGUGAUAAGCCAGAACCUAG
ensembl:lncRNA